UGUGUUAUUAAAUUGAAUCCC
rnacentral:piRNA from 1 species